GACCCGAAAGGUGGUUAACUAUGCCUGAUCAGAUCGAAGUCAGGGGAAUCCCUGACGGAGGAUCGAAGCAAGUCUGACAUGAAAAUCGAUUUUUAGAGUUAGGAUGAGGGACGAAAUACCAAUCCAGUAGUUGG
rnacentral:ncRNA from 1 species